rnacentral:rRNA from 1 species
GACGUAGGGCGCGAGCGUUGUCCGGAUUUAUUGGGCGUAAAGAGCUCGUAGGCGGCUUGUCGCGUCGUCCGUGAAAACCUGCGGCUCAACUGCAGGCUGGCGGUCGAUACGGGCAGGCUGGAGUUCGGUAGGGGAGACUGGAAUUCCUGGUGUAGCGGUGAAAUGCGCAGAUAUCAGGAGGAACACCGGUGGCGAAGGCGGGUCUCUGGGCCGAUACUGACGCUGAGGCGCGAAAGCUAGGGGAGCAAACAGG